GCUCUCGAGUCCGUUUCCUGAGUAUAUAAUUAGUACUUGGUGUCUUUGGGAAAGAUCUAGAGAACGCUCCCCGAGUGGGGGUCGAUCCAGUGACCUCCCGAUCUCUAGGCGAACACCUUAUCCAUAACGCCACGGCGAACUGAAUGUUUAUCUUAAUAAGCAGUUGUAGAGUGUAAUCAAUUGGUGGCUACUUGUCGGAUCAAAUCCUUCUUGAUGGACGAAUCGACAACGGCCCCGCUCGUGGUGCACGGAAAUAGAGGUUCGGGCAAUUCCAUCCUGGCGUUGUCGGAAAAAAAUCAGCAAGAUCUGGCUGGCCAAGACGCCUAAGCUCGUGUUAAGGUUUCUCGGUACAACAGUGGAGAGUUCUUCCGCGCUGUCUCUGCUACAGAGUCUGG